CGCAUUCGUUGUUCCAGCCCUUUUGCCCCCAUGGGGCCCUUUGACCGUUUUUCUGGACGCAGAAGGAUGGAGGGUUAGCUCACUUCGUCCCGGUGCGGGGGAACCCAGCCAGCUCCCUGCCCAGACUCAGCGUUCCUGAAACCCAAAAGGGACAGUCUGGAUGUCUGGGGCCCCCUCUCCCACCUCUGGGCUUUGGAAUAGGUGACCUGGGAGCAGCUUUCUCCUGCCCAAGGUCACGAGUAGACUUCCAUGUCCACGAAUUCCAGUCACUCCUCAGACCCCAGACGCAGACGGGGAGGGCCCCGAGUGUCGAGGGCCCCGGAUAUCGAGGCAGGGGUUGGCUACAGCGCUGCAGGGCUCGGCGGCCAGGCCUGCUGCAGGAGUCCUCGAGACUGGAGAGCGAGCAAACUGGGAGAGCAAAGUUAGAAUUUGAGCGGCUUGGCCCGUCAGGAUUGUUUCCGAACGACCUUUUCUCCUCAACAAGUGGGCACCAGCAGCUGAUAACCGCGGACGAGGGGCAUGCAGCCGUCGUGCACAUUUUUUACAUUCCUGGGGCCAGGGAUUGACAGGGGCCUUGGAAGAGCUCAAACUUUGGAGGAAAACACUGGGAAACUGGAUUUAGAGGACUGUUGACUAGCUUCCGUACGGCAUUCAGAAUGAUACCCCUUUUGGAGAAAUGGGGACUACAGAGCACGUGCUGGAGGCAAUUAAUUAUCGGAAUGUGGCCAUAUCAAAACGGACACUGGGCACCGGG